rnacentral:rRNA from 1 species
CACAUGCAAGUCGAGCGGUAGAGAGAAGCUUGCUUCUCUUGAGAGCGGCGGACGGGUGAGUAAUGCCUAGGAAUCUGCCUGGUAGUGGGGGAUAACGUUCGGAAACGGACGCUAAUACCGCAUACGUCCUACGGGAGAAAGCAGGGGACCUUCGGGCCUUGCGCUAUCAGAUGAGCCUAGGUCGGAUUAGCUAGUUGGUGAGGUAAUGGCUCACCAAGGCGACGAUCCGUAACUGGUCUGAGAGGAUGAUCAGUCACACUGGAACUGAGACACGGUCCAGACUCCUACGGGAGGCAGCAGUGGGGAAUAUUGGACAAUGGGCGAAAGCCUGAUCCAGCCAUGCCGCGUGUGUGAAGAAGGUCUUCGGAUUGUAAAGCACUUUAAGUUGGGAGGAAGGGUUGUAGAUUAAUACUCUGCAAUUUUGACGUUACCGACAGAAUAAGCACCGGCUAACUCUGUGCCAGCAGCCGCGGUAAUACAGAGGGUGCAAGCGUUAAUCGGAAUUACUGGGCGCAAAGCGCGCGUAGGUGGUUUGUUAAGUUGGAUGUGAAAUCCCCGGGCUCAACCUGGGAACUGCAUUCAAAACUGACUGACUAGAGUAUGGUAGAGGGUGGUGGAAUUUCCUGUGUAGCGGUGAAAUGCGUAGAUAUAGGAAGGAACACCAGUGGCGAAGGCGACCACCUGGACUAAUACUGACACUGAGGUGCGAAAGCGUGGGGAGCAAAC